rnacentral:misc_RNA from 1 species
CUGAGUACCGGGUCUCUAAGGCCCUUACUCCCACCCUAUGUUUAUCUUCAUCUAUUUGGUUGCCUUGGUGGGGUGUAAACCCCCCUAAGUCUUACAUGGAUUUAGGUGGGUCUCUCCCCCCACCAAAAGGGGACCGCCUUUAAACUCUUGUUAACAGUGUCGUCUGAGAAAUCAAACAAAUAAAUUA